GGCUACAACACAGGACAUGGGAGCUUCUCCUAACCCUCGUGUCUUGUGUUGCAGCCAG
rnacentral:pre_miRNA from 1 species